UACAUACUCCCUCCGUCCGGAAUUACUUGUCAUCAAAAUGGAUGAAUCUAGAACUAAAAUACAUCUAGAUACAUCCAUUUCAAUGACAAGUAUUUCCGGACAGAGGGAGUAGAUG
rnacentral:pre_miRNA from 1 species